GAUUAUAUGGUAGCUCUAUUUUCAGUUUUUUUUUUUUUGUUUGUUUGUUUGUUUAGGAAUCAUCAAACUGUUCUCUAUAGGGGUUGUACUAAUUUACAUUCCCACCAACAGUGUAAUAGUGUUCACUUUUCUCCAUAUCCUUGCCAGCAUUUGUUAUUACCUGUCUUUCAGGUAAAAAUCAUUUUAAUUGUGGUGAGAUGAUACCUCAUUGUAGUUUUGAUUUGCAUUUCUCUGAUGACCAGGCUGUGUCCUUCCCUUCAGGGCGGCAAGUUUCACUGGUCCCAGGCGGGUCUAGAGAGGACAUCCGGGAGCCAGGGCCUGGAGUCAGAAACCUCAGGAAUCUACCUGGUGCUCUAUUCUAUCAUGGCUGAGCUGCCACUCCAGCCACAAAACAAAGCCCUUUCUACUCUUCUAUGUCCUUUCCAUAAGCAGAGGAGUCUCUUCCCCAGGUCCCAGACCCAUGAUCACAUGAUGGGAAGGCUCAACUCUGCAAUGGCAUGUGUCAGUUUGCUUCUGUUGCUAAAUUGUGUUCCAUUCUGUAAAUACACUACGUUGUUUUGAUCCAUUCAACAGUUGA